UGGGGGAUAUUGCACAAUGGGCGAAAGCCUGAUGCAGCGACGCCGCGUGGGGGAUGAAGGCUUUCGGGUUGUAAACCUCUUUCGCUAUCGAACAAGGCCCGCUUAGGGUGGGUUGAGGGUAGGUGGAGAAGAAGCGCCGGCUAACUACGUGCCAGCAGCCGCGGUAAUACGUAGGGCGCGAGCGUUGUCCGGAAUUAUUGGGCGUAAAGGGCUUGUAGGCGGCUUGUUGCGCCUGCUGUGAAAACGCGGGGGUUAACUUCGCGCGUGGAGUGGGUACGGGCAGGCUUGAGGGUGGUAGGGGUGACUGGAAUUCCAGGUGUAGCGGUGGAAUGCGCAGAUAUCUGGAGGAACACCGAUGGCGAAGGCAGGUCACUGGGCCAUUACUGACGCUGAGGAGCGAAAGCAUGGGUAGCGAACAGG
rnacentral:rRNA from 1 species